CACUGCUUGACUGCAUUCUCCUGGGUGAAAAAUGUCCCUAAGUUUUAUUGCACUGUGGUGUUCUCAGCUACAAUGCAGACUCCGUGUGUUGCGUAAAUAUCAUUUUCUGCUGAGCUGGGCAUAUUCUGUGUCAUUGCUCAGCCCACAAAUGAGACUGGCCUGCCUUCUCUGGGCAAGGGCAGCACUUUGCUGUUAUUUCCUGUAAGCUGAAUCUUCUUGUAGAUAUUUAUUGUACCACACUCCUGCAGUGGUGCUUUUGCAGUGUGUAUUGGAUGUGACAAGCAGUUGUUUGUAUUCCUUGCACAAGAAUUGUCACUAUACCAUUCAGAAAAGGGCUAAGCUUCAAAUGAUUGUGCUGGAAAGUCAAAAAUAAAAAGUUUGCACCCCUAUAGAAAAAUAAAGUAUCCAACUGGAAGAACACAGCUUAUAAAUGAUGCUACAAAUUAUGAAGUACUUUUUUCACAAGCAAUGCUUGGGAAUAAGAAAUCUCCUACUUAUUAUUUUGGGUAGUCUGUAGAGUUUCUUCUGAAGGGCAGUGAAGGGAGAUAGGCCUUCCUGACUCAUUUUUUUUGGUUAUACUUCUAUUAGUUUUUGGCUUACCAUCUAUAGUUGGCUGUUAAUGUUGUUAUUAUUAGAGAAGGUUUUCUCCCAGCAAACAUUUAAUUUGUGCCAUGCGCCACACUUUGCAGCUAGGAAAGCCAUUAUCAAUAAUGAUAGUGGCUUUUCAGUGUACCACUUAAAAUUUUCAGCAGUGUGCUAGAAUUUUAACCUAGAUGUAGCACUGUAAUGAUAUGUCAUCCCUAAAAAAUGAAAUGCCAACUGCCUCCUGAAAGUGGUAUACACCUAUUUAAGGCCUGAAAAUUGCUAUCAGUUCUUACAGUAGCUUAACUUUUUCAGCAGAAGUACUGCUAGACACGUGUUACAGUGAUGAGCAGGAUAACAGUAAUAGGAAUGGUGUCCUUAUAAUCAAAGGCUGUCUGUAAUGAACCAGCAGGCUGUAAAUGAAAUACAAAACAAACAAACUUGCCUCAAUAAGAACUUUUAAAUGAAACAAAUAAACAAGAAACUUGAUUACAUACAUUUUGUAUUCUUAAUUUCUAAUUAUUUGCUUCCAAACAUGCUAUGGUUGCCAAGUGGCUUAUAUUCUCAGGCAGGAAAUGCAUAGUGAAGAUGGUUUUUAUUGACCACUGGAUCAAUAGUAAAAGAAUUUCAAGAAUUACAUGUGCAGUAGUGGCAAUUUCUGAAUGUUUGAUGUAUCUGUGUGUAUUAAAUCUACCUUUAAAUUUAAUUUUUUCUUAAUAGCACAGUUAUAAGCCAUUUUAAAUUUCCUCUAGAGGAAAACGUUUAGGAAAAAAACUUUUUCUUCAAGCUGUGAUAUUAAAGUAUGUUAAAGAAUAGUUACAGGAAUAAUUAUGUUCCUAGUUAAUUUCAUUGUCAAAUUUCUUCUUUUCCUCUGAACCUCUUUGUGCCUUCACACUGUGUGCUUUACUACAGGCAACACUUGAGUGUGUCCUUAUCAAAUCUAAGCGUACGCUUCCAAGUUUUUUCCUCUUCUCAAGUGAAGAGAUUCUCCCUUUUUACAGUCUACAAAAGACAUCCUUGGGGCAGAAUAAAUAUUGUGGAUUUCUUUGUUUACACGUGGCAUGUGGUUUUGUGAUUUCUUAAAGAGGGGAAAAAAAUAAACCUUGAGAACCUCUACAUACAACAAAACAACUUUCUCGCAUCCUGAGACCAAUCUGUGCUCUACAAUUUCAAAUACACAGCUAAGUGAUAAAGCUAUAAAAUGUUAUCAUUGCAGUACAAAAAAAAUCUCUAAUAAAAGCUUUAAUUCACUACAGGUUUUCAAGGGAAAGAAUAAAGAGCUUUCCUUGCUUACUGUAUACUUAGGCUUGAACUGCUGUUUUUCUCGCUGUUUUUUGAAAUUCUUAAUUUUCAAGUCUCUUACUACUUCUUUACAAAUCAUCAUAUGCAGUGCUAACAUGCUGUAGGUUUAUGUUCCAUUACUGACAGGACCAUUAAUAAAUAUAUCUGGAGUAAUCGUAGUUUUGGUCAUUGUUUCACAUGUAAAUGGCGCCUGACUGCAAUGCACUUUGCCUCAAGGUCUCGUAAGAAGUGAGAAGUUAUUGAUCUUGUUUACCUCAGUAGGUCUUUAUGAAAAGGCCUGCCUUUCCCUUUGAAAUCAUUCUAGUUUCAUCCAAGCCUGUUGGAUAAUGUAGGAUUAAGUAUAUAAGUAAAUAUGAAGGACACUGCAGCAUCCAGAAAAUAUCAGGGAGGGAGUUGCUGAAUGGUGUUAACUUAAAGGGUGAAGUCAUUAUCCCCUAACUGGCUGGGCUCUAUUUGCUUCAAGGAAAAUCAUUAUAUUGACUUUUUUUCUUUUUCUUUUAAAGAAAGCAGAUACAGUAUUUGGAUUUAACUUGCAGUGUUUCAGAGCAGUUUGUUACAUCUCUUCACCUACUUGUGGGGAAGAGCGUGAGCUGAUGGACAUAUUCUGCAAACUCUUGAUGUGUUCAUUACCUCACUGGCUGGCAACCAACACUGCAGAAGAAUUUAGGAACUAAAGAAUAGUAGAACAAGUGGAAUGAAGCCAAGUGUUGUACACUAAUAUGAAACAGAUCUUCAUUAGGAAUGGGUACAAACUUCUUUUGGAAGAACUUUUUUUGUUUGCUAAAUGAUACUAAAUAUAUAUAUAUAUAGAUAGAUAUUUAUCUGAAAGAAUGCAAAGCCAGCAGUGUUAUUACAUGUUAAACAGUGAAGCAUUGAUUUAAGAUUUCUUUACUAUGCAUAGUGCUAUCUCUUGAAGUAAACAGUGCAUGAACGAUGCUAGUGGGUGAUGGCUGAUACUUCAAUAACAAUAGUAAAUUAUUUUGAUACUGAAAUAUUUAUGUGGUGCCUCAUGUACUCUUUGUACCAAACUCCUGUCGUUAUCCAAGAUGUCACAGUUUUCCUACAUAUGAUUCCCCCUCACCAUAGAAUAUGGUAUGCUGUUAAAAGAAACUCAGAAGAUUUCCUGGCAGCAUUUUGGAAUAAAGGUAGAUUGGCUUUCAAAUGUAUUUGCUUGGUUAGUUUGAUUAGUUUUAAAUAUAACUCUUCUGGAUAUGGGUUCUCUGUACAAAUAUCCAUGUUUAGCCUCUCUCUUUGUACCUCUUUAUUAUCAGUUAUACUGUCUGCUUGUGUCAGAAAUAAUUACUGGAAUGUUUCUCAAAAAUUGCUUCACAUCUAUUCCAGUACUUGUCUAUAAUGUGCAGUAGGAAGAUACGCACUUCAGUGAGUAGGAAAUCGACAUAUGGUUGACUUUAGCUCUGUCUUUAGUCUUGGUCAAAAUAACUUUUUUGCUGUUACCUUUGCUUCAGGAAAUGGAUAACUAAGUCAGGCUUGAGGAUAAAAAUAUUAGUUAACUACUACACUCUAGAAACUAUAGUGGUUGAAUAAGCAACAGAUCAGCACCUGGGUGAGCAUUCUUUUCACAUGAGCAGUAAUUUGUCAUACAAAGGUGAGAUUGCAGUAAGUUGUCAUCUGUAACUUUGGAAUAUGGAAUUUUC
rnacentral:lncRNA from 1 species